CCGAUCUGUCUAUUCCGUGGCAGGCAGGCAGGUUCCGCCCAUGGGUCUGGCUUGCGCUAGGUUGCACCACCCGUUCUCUAGGACGAGGAUGGUAGGAGCACCGCUGAAGAAGAGGCGGGGAUGAAGAAACAACAAUCAGGAGAAGGAGGUCGAGCGAGGGAGGGUACGGUGCCCAGGUGGGAGGUUUUCUCAAACCACAUCGGCGGCGGCUGAAGUUCCCUUGCGGUGAAGGCAGCGGGAAGGGACCUUCUCAAGCUGCAGGACGCUGCAGGACAUGGGAGCUGACGCCUCCUUGCUAGCGAUGUGGACAAAGAGAAGAUCAGUUUGGGCCUCGAAAUUCUCAGGUACGGCCCUGCCUUCAACCAUCUUGUUUUGGUUAUGUUGCCAGUUUAUAGUUCGAUUGAGGCCACUAAAUCAUGAUGUGCCAAGAGGUGCUGACCUAAUUCGAGAUGUUCAGUUGUCGCAAAAGGAUCUAACUGAUGAUGUCUAUGCACUGCUCAUUUUCCCAGUUCCUAGGCAGACCUAAAGAUAGCAAGUUUUUUUGCAGCUUCUUGGUAGUGUUAGAGAAUAUUUUGUACAGAUUAAGACUGCAUAGUACCAUGCUGAGAAAUGAUCUGGGUGGUAAA